rnacentral:rRNA from 1 species
ACGCUCGACACCUACGGGAGGCAGCAGUGGGGAAUAUUGCACAAUGGGGGAAACCCUGAUGCAGCGACGCCGCGUGAGCGAUGAAGUAUUUCGGUAUGUAAAGCUCUAUCAGCAGGGAAGAAACUGACGGUACCUGACUAAGAAGCACCGGCUAAAUACGUGUCAGCAGCCGCGGUAAUCUGAGCGGGCUGGCAAGGC